rnacentral:rRNA from 1 species
CGGACGGGUGAGUAAUGUCUGGGAAACUGCCUGAUGGAGGGGGAUAACUACUGGAAACGGUAGCUAAUACCGCAUAACGUCGCAAGACCAAAGAGGGGGACCUUGGGCCUCUUGCCAUCGGAUGUGCCCAGAUGGGAUUAGCUAGUAGGUGGGGUAAGGGCUCACCUAGGCGACGAUCCCUAGCUGGUCUGAGAGGAUGACCAGCCACACUGGAACUGAGACACGGUCCAG